AUGUGCAAGAACCCUUAAAAAUUUUAUGAAGCGAAACAUCGUAGUAAUAAAUCUAAAACAGAAUUCAACUGAGAUGUUAAAGUAACGGUGAGUGAACCAAAGUAGCUCAAAAAUUAAAAGAGGAGGCUGAACUGCUUGGAAAAGUGGGCCGCAGGGGGUGAUAGCCCCGUAAGCUUUU
rnacentral:rRNA from 1 species